AGAUUGAACGCUGGCGGCAUGCCUUACACAUGCAAGUCGAACGGCAGCACGGGAGCAAUCCUGGUGGCGAGUGGCGAACGGGUGAGUAAUACAUCGGAACGUGCCCAAUCGUGGGGGAUAACGCAGCGAAAGCUGUGCUAAUACCGCAUAAGAUCUACGGAUGAAAGCAGGGGAUCGCAAGACCUUGCGCGAAUGGAGCGGCCGAUGGCAGAUUAGGUAGUUGGUGACGGUAAAGGCUCACCAAGCCUUCGAUCUGUAGCUGGUCUGAGAGGACGACCAGCCACACGUGGGACUGAGACACGGUCAGACUCGUACGGAG
rnacentral:rRNA from 1 species